AACGAACGCUGGCGGCGUGCUUAACACAUGCAAGUUGAACGGAGUGCAUGGUGUAGUAAUACACCGUGAAACUUAGUGGCGGACGGGUGAGGAACACGUAGGUAACCUACCCUCGGGCGGGGGACAACCCAGGGAAACUUGGGCUAAUACCGCAUAAGCCCACGGACUGAGAUGUCAGUGGGAAAAAGUGGCAACACACCUGAGGAUGGGCCUGCGGCCUAUCAGGUAGUUGGUGGGGUAACGGCUCACCAAGCCAAAGACGGGUAGCCGGACUGAGAGGUUGAACGGCCACACUGGAACUGAGACACGGUCCAGACUCCGUACGGGAGGCAGCAGGUGGGGAAUCUUGCGCAAGUCGGGGGAAACCCUGACGCAGCGACGCCGCGUGGAGGAUGAAGGCCUUCGGGUUGUAAACUCCUUUUCUUGGGGAAAAUUGUGAUGGUACCCAAGGAAUAAGCCACGGCUAACUCUGUG
rnacentral:rRNA from 1 species